UCCCUGGUGGUUCAGAUGGUAAAGAAUCUGCCUGUAAGGCAGGAGACCUGGGUUCGACUCCUGGGUGGGGAA
rfam:Ovis aries breed Texel chromosome 1, whole genome shotgun sequence.